UACGGAGGAUCCAAGCGUUAUCCGGAUUUAUUGGGUUUAAAGGGUGCGUAGGCGGCCAUUCAAGUUAGGUGUGAAAGCCCUGGGCUCAACCUAGGAAUUGCACUUGAUACUGUUUGGCUUGAGUUCGGGAGAGGUGAGUGGAAUUCCCAGUGUAGAGGUGAAAUUCGUAGAUAUUGGGAAGAACACCAGUGGCGAAGGCGGCUCACUGGACCGACACUGACGCUGAGGCGCGAAAGCGUGGGGAGCAAACAGG
rnacentral:rRNA from 1 species